rnacentral:rRNA from 1 species
AUGCCAGACUCCUACGGGAGGCAGCAGUGAGGAAUAUUGGUCAAUGGCCGAGAGGCUGAACCAGCCAAGUCGCGUGAGGGAAGAAUGUCCUAAGGAUUGUAAACCUCUUUUGUCGGGGAGCAAAAAGGCUCUGCGGAGUCGUAUUGAGAGUACCCGAAGAAAAAGCAUCGGCUAACUCCGUGCCAGCAGCCGCGGUAAUACGGAGGAUGCGAGCGUUAUCCGGAUUUAUUGGGUUUAAAGGGUGCGCAGGCGGAGGCACAAGUCAGCGGAAAAAUCGGGGGGCUCACCCCCGCUCCGCCGUUGAAACUGUGCCCCUUGAGUGCGCGAAGGGUAGGCGGAAUGCGUGGUGUAGCGGUGAAAUGCAUAGAUAUCACGCAGAACUCCGAUCGCGAAGGCAGCCUACCGGCGCGCAACUGACGCUAAUGCACGAAAGCGUGGGUAUCGAACAGGAUUAGAUACCCCUGUA